AAGUAAAAGUCGUAACAAGGUUUCCGUAGGUGAACCUGCGGAAGGAUCAUUAUCGUAGGGCUCCGGCCCUGUCGAGAUAGAACCCUUGCCUUUUUGAGUACCUCUUCGUUUCCUCGGCGGGCUCGCCCGCCAGUGGGGACCACAAAAAACACUUUGUAAUACCUGUACUGUCUGAGAAACAAACAAAAAUUAAAACUUUCAACAACGGAUCUCUUGGUUCUGGCAUCGAUGAAGAACGCAGCGAAAUGCGAUAAGUAGUGUGAAUUGCAGAAUUCAGUGAAUCAUCGAAUCUUUGAACGCACAUUGCGCCCUUUGGUAUUCCUUAGGGCAUGCCUGUUCGAGCGUCAUUUAAACCUUCAAGCUCAGCUUGGUGAUGGGUGACUGUCCGCCGCCCCCGGGCGCGGACUCGCCCCAAAUUCAUUGGCGGCCGGUACGUUGGCUUCGAGCGCAGCAGAAACGCGAACUCGUGGCCCUCUUGUGCUGGCUCCCAGGAGCAAUUUCACAAUUUGACCUCGGAUC
rnacentral:rRNA from 1 species